rnacentral:rRNA from 1 species
AUGAACGCUGGCGGCGUGCCUAACACAUGCAAGUCGAGCGAUUCUCUUCGGAGAAGAGCGGCGGACGGGUGAGUAACGCGUGGGUAACCUGCCCUGUACACACGGAUAACAUACCGAAAGGUAUGCUAAUACGAGAUAAUAUGCUUUUGUCGCAUGGUAGAAGUAUCAAAGCUCCGGCGGUACAGGAUGGACCCGCGUCUGAUUAGCUAGUUGGUAAGGUAACGGCUUACCAAGGCGACGAUCAGUAGCCGACCUGAGAGGGUGAUCGGCCACAUUGGAACUGAGACACGGUCCAAACUCCUACGGGAGGCAGCAGUGGGGAAUAUUGCACAAUGGGCGAAAGCCUGAUGCAGCAACGCCGCGUGAGCGAUGAAGGCCUUCGGGUCGUAAAGCUCUGUCCUCAAGGAAGAUAAUGACGGUACUUGAGGAGGAAGCCCCGGCUAACUACGUGCCAGCAGCCGCGGUAAUACGUAGGGGGCUAGCGUUAUCCGGAAUUACUGGGCGUAAAGGGUGCGUAGGUGGUUUCUUAAGUCAGAGGUGAAAGGCUACGGCUCAACCGUAGUAAGCCUUUGAAACUGGGAAACUUGAGUGCAGGAGAGGAGAGUGGAAUUCCUAGUGUAGCGGUGAAAUGCGUAGAUAUUAGGAGGAACACCAGUUGCGAAGGCGGCUCUCUGGACUGUAACUGACACUGAGGCACGAAAGCGUGGGGAGCAAACAGGAUUAGAUACCCUGGUAGUCCACGCCGUAAACGAUGAGUACUAGCUGUCGGAGGUUACCCCCUUCGGUGGCGCAGCUAACGCAUUAAGUACUCCGCCUGGGAAGUACGCUCGCAAGAGUGAAACUCAAAGGAAUUGACGGGGACCUGCACAAGUAGCGGAGCAUGUGGUUUAAUUCGAAGCAACGCGAAGAACCUUACCUAAGCUUGACAUCCUUUUGACCGAUGCCUAAUCGCAUUUUUCCCUUCGGGGACAGAAGUGACAGGUGGUGCAUGGUUGUCGUCAGCUCGUGUCGUGAGAUGUUGGGUUAAGUCCCGCAACGAGCGCAACCCUUGCCUUUAGUUGCCAGCAUUAAGAUGGGCACUCUAGAGGGACUGCCAGGGAUAACCUGGAGGAAGGUGGGGAUGACGUCAAAUCAUCAUGCCCCUUAUGCUUAGGGCUACACACGUGCUACAAUGGGUGGUACAGAGGGCAGCCAAGUCGUGAGGCGGAGCUAAUCCCUUAAAGCCAUUCUCAGUUCGGAUUGUAGGCUGAAACUCGCCUACAUGAAGCUGGAGUUACUAGUAAUCGCAGAUCAGAAUGCUGCGGUGAAUGCGUUCCCGGGUCUUGUACACACCGCCCGUCACACCACGGGAGUUGGGGGCGCCCGAAGCCGGAUUGCUAACCUUUUGGAAGCGUCCGUCGAAGGUGAAAUCAAUAACUGGGGUG